rnacentral:tRNA from 1 species
GGGGCUGUGGCGCAGCUGGUAGCGCAUCUGCAUGGCAUGCAGAGGGUCAGGGUUCGAGUCCCCUCAGCUCCACCA